GAUGAACGCUGGCGGCGUGCCUAAUACAUGCAAGUCGAGCGAACAGAUGAGGAGCUUGCUCCUCUGACGUUAGCGGCGGACGGGUGAGUAACACGUGGAUAACCUACCUAUAAGACUGGGAUAACUUCGGGAAACCGGAGCUAAUACCGGAUAAUAUAUUGAACCGCAUGGUUCAAUAGUGAAAGACGGUUUUGCUGUCACUUAUGGAUGGAUCCGCGCCGCAUUAGCUAGUUGGUAAGGUAACGGCUUACCAAGGCAACGAUGCGUAGCCGACCUGAGAGGGUGAUCGGCCACACUGGAACUAAGACACGGUCCAGACUCCUACGGGAGGCAGCAGUAGGGAAUCUUCCGCAUUGGGCGAAAGCCUGACGGAGCAACGCCGCGUAAGUGAUGAAGGUCUUCGGAUCGUAAAACUCUGUUAUUAGGGAAGAACAAAUGUGUAAGUAACUAUGCACGUCUUGACGGUACCUAAUCAGAAAGCCACGGCUAACUACGUG
rnacentral:rRNA from 1 species